UUGGAGGGCAAGUCUGGUGCCAGCAGCCGCGGUAAUUCCAGCUCCAAUAGCGUAUAUUAAAGUUGUUGCAGUUAAAAAGCUCGUAGUUGAAUUUCGGGAUCAAUUUAUUGGUCGUGCCAACGGUACGCACUGGUACAAUUGGUUUCUCCCUUCUGACGAAGCAUGAUGUCAUUAAUUUGAUGUCGUGGGGAAUCAGGACUGUUACUUUGAAAAAAUUAGAGUGUUUAAAGCAGGCUUUGGCUUGAAUACAUUAGCAUGGAAUAAUGAAAUAGGACGUUUGAUCUUAUUUCGUUGGUUUCUAAGAUCGACGUAAUGAUUAAUAGGGAUAGUUGGGGGCAUUAGUAUUCAAUUGUCAGAGGUGAAAUUCUUGGAUUUAUUGAAGACUAACUACUGCGAAAGCAUCUGCCAAGGAUGUUUUCAUUAAUCAAGAACGAAAGUUAGGGGAUCGAAGACGAUCAGAUACCGUCGUAGUCUUAACCAUAAACUAUGCCGACUAGGGAUCGGAUGAUGUUAAUGUUUUAAUGACUCAUUCGGCGCCUUACGGGAAAC
rnacentral:rRNA from 1 species